CGUGGUCUUGGUGUCCUGCGGGGACGAGCAAGGCGGCGCGACGUUGCCGCUCGGCGACGGCUGCGUCAGGCGGUAGGGGCGCCGGUAGAAGGAGCUCGCCCCCGGGGGACGAGCUCGUGGUGACUCGCCCGGGCUUCUGCUGCCACCGACGUCUCCACCGACCACGUCCGCGAGCUGCUGCCGGAGAAGGCCGUUGAGGUUAUCAGUACCACCUCUCCCUCUUCAUUUUACAUCUGGACCACAAGAUCCGAUCAGAAAGUUCAUGUCUUGUUCCUGACAGGAAAGCUGCACAAGUAGAUGCAGACAUAAACAUACGAGGAAGGAAAGAGCUAUAAUUGAUUACAAGUGAGCUGCAUGAGCAAGUUAGUGCAUAUUUGAGAUACGAACCUGCUGACAGUAAUAGUAGUUACAUAAAGGUAAAAUCAACUAGACAGGGUGUUAACUCAACAAACUAGUAAGCUUCUGAUAAAUCAUUUACACUAAAAUUCUAAUCUGCAACCAACACACUUUUGGCUGCUACGUUCCUAGUAUUUCACUAGUCAGGACAAUAGUGAUGUUUAUCUUAUGUUCCAGGUCAUCUUCCUUAACCUGGCGCCGGUAGAAGGAGCUCGCCGGCGAGGCCCGGGGGACGAGCUCGUGGUGACUCGCCUGGGCUUCUGCUGCCAGCGUCGUAUCCACCGACCACGUCCGCGAGCUGCUGCUCACAGUAAUUACAUAAAGCUAAAAUGAACGAGACAGGGUUUAACUGAACAAACUAAUGAUAAGCUUCUGAUAAAUCAUUUACAAAUCUGCAACCAAAAGUCUUUUGGCUGCUAUGUUCCUAGUGUUUGACUAGGCGGGGCAAUAAUGCUGUUUAUCUCAUGUUCCAGGUCAUCUUCGUCAACCGGGUGCUGGUGCAACCGCACGUAUACAACACCCGCAGAUCUGCUUAGGUAAAGCUGUUGCCGGCGCCUCUCCUGUCGCAGGGAGAUGAUUUAGUUAUGCCUCCCUCCACGUUGGUGCAUUUGACGAUUCACUGCAUGAUACAUGGGAAUGUUCUUUGCCUAGCCUAAUCGAAUAUAUGGCUGCCUCCUUCGACUGGAACGACUACUACAUCACCGCGUCCCCCAUCGGCGAGCCACAGAAGGUCAACUUUAUGCCUUUUUCUGUUUCGAAGUUUAGUAUGAUGCAGCAACGAUUGAAACAUAUGCAUUGAUCUCUAUUGUUGUUGUUGUGUGAGGCAAUACCUUGUUAUGUGAGUUACUCAUAUUGUCUGUACCUACUAUGUGCAGCGGUAACACUAUUUGGUUCCUCUAAAAAAAGGUAACAUGUUACAGAUCUUCCAUAAAUUCAAUGCUAGCUUUGUUAUCCAGUUUGCAUGGUGUGUUCUAUACAUAGCAUUCCCAUCUUGGCUAAUGGUGUUAUGGCAGUAGCUUCCAAAGGCGGUAGCCUGUAACUUGCAAGGCUGGUUGUGUCUUCAUGCUGAUUGCUAUUUGAGUGAUCUUGAUCUAGUAGUGAAGUUGAUAUGUGUCUAUGUUCCACUUCUGAAAUUGUGGGCUUAACCUGGUGGUUGGGUUCUUAAUGAAGAGGGUUCUACUAUUGCUAUAUUCUGGCUGAUUGCACUUCUUUGAACCUUACUAUAUUUAAGUGCUUAUGUCUAGCUCAAAAGUCAAAUAUCUCUGUUUCACCAGAUGAAAUGCUGUUUGCUGGAAUUGUAUGCUCGAAGUGUUAAUUUUGUCACUAUUUGAUUCAAUAGUAUGCCAUUUUGAUUUUCUGAAAAUUAUUUCUUCUCUUUGGUAUAUGCAUAGUUGACGUUGCAAACUUGUAACUAGUGGUGUUCUGGGAUGAAAAUCUACAGUUGAGUGCUAUUUUGGCUAGUCAAUAUUUACUAGUGCUAUUCUGGAACUAUACGGACUGUGUGUGUCCAGUUGUAAUUGUUCGUCUACCUGCUAUCAUCUCACUCAUGUUUUCAGGGCAGUGAGGAUUCUUUGCUCAAAGGAAUAGUUACCCAUCCAUGGCGAUGAGGCAUAAGAGUUUCCCCUCCAGUUCGCCUGCCCCUUGCCUUAUAACUAGAUCAGGAUAUUGAAAAGGAGGAUAGAUGGCAGCCAACGUAGCAGCUGGCAUCUAGUAGUUGAUCAUAUAAAAUUUGCAGAUUCUUGUGUGGUAGCGGGGUGAGGAGGCGCCUCCUUUCAGAGGUGUCCAACAUCAAAAUUUGAUUCCUCUAUUUGUUUAUCUUGUUUGUUUGGUGGCUGUAAUGGAAGAUAAAUUGCAUGGUUAUGUUGCUGCCUAGGAUGGAUAAAUCCUCCUUGCUGUGUUUUGGCUGGUAAUCCUGGAUGUAUCUCCUCCGCUAAAUGAUGUAAGAGUUUGCAGUUGGAUGCUGAAAUCGAAGCAUACGUACAUAUGUGUUCGUUUUGCUGUAUGUAAUGGCUCCUCCAGCUUGGAGCUUGUAAGAGAUGGUGUGUUAAGUAAUUGGCUCGUUUUGUGUUUUGUGUUCUCGUGUUGGAGCUGGAUUGAUUCCGGGCUAAUUCAAAUGUUGUUUGUGCU